UACGUAGGGUGCGAGCGUUGUCCGGAAUUAUUGGGCGUAAAGGGCUCGUAGGCGGUUUUGUCGCGUCGGGAGUGAAAACCUUGGGCUUAACUCAGGGCUUGCUUUCGAUACGGGCAGACUAGAGGUAUGCAGGGGAGAACGGAAUUCCUGGUGUAGCGGUGAAAAUGCGCAGAUAUCAGGAGGAACACCGGUGGCGAAGGCGGGGUCUCUGGGGCCGAUACUGACGCUGAGGAGCGAAAAGCGUGGGGAGCGAACAGG
rnacentral:rRNA from 1 species